rnacentral:rRNA from 1 species
GACGUAGGGGGCAAGCGUUGUCCGGAAUCAUUGGGCGUAAAGCGCGCGUAGGUGGCCUCAUAAGUCCGCUGUGAAAGUCAAAGGCUCAACCUUUGAAAGCCGGUGGAUACUGUGAGGCUAGAGUACGGAAGAGGCGAGUGGAAUUCCUGGUGUAGCGGUGGAAUGCGCAGAUAUCAGGAGGAACACCAAUAGCGAAGGCAGCUCGCUGGGACGUUACUGACACUGAGGCGCGAAAGCGUGGGGAGCAAACAGG